CGGGGUAACAGUGGCCCGGCGGGCACAUCCAGCUGUUGGCGUAUGUGAGCGCCAGAGAUGCCGACGAGAAGAGGGCAGCUCCGGGUUUAAUGCGGGCUGGAGACCCUUGGAGUUCCUUUGGCGUCUCGAAUCCAGCGCAGCUGUGGUCCGACGGAGAUCCCUGGGAUUCGACCUGCCAGGGAUGGUGCGGCCGGACCCUGCCCUAGAUCAGAAAGUCCCGUGCGUAGCCAGCCUUUUCGGGCAGGGUCUCUGAGGCAGAGGUCUCGAGCCCCCGGCGGGGCGGAGCUCCUAGAAGCGCAGGCUUGGUCACCCACCCUACGCGUCCAGCCCGGCUUUUGGGGCCACCUCUAGGGCCACACUGAUGGUUGGGCCCAGUUUGUGUGUUUCAGAUGAAAAAUUCACAAGGGACAUGAGAUUCAUAUCUCAUGGGGAUCAAACCUCAUGUCAGUGGCACAGGAGGAAUUAGAAGCCGUGUUUCCUUUGAGACCUGAAGAUCCAGUUCUAGGUUUUCCUGCUGCUCCCAAGCUUUGGGCAAAGUAACUACACUUCUCUGAGCCUCAUAAUGGUGAUAAUACUCUUCCCACUUACCUCAUUCAGUUAAUGUAAAGGUCAAAGUCAUACAUGUUUUCUCAGUCAUUUAUUAACUGCUUGAACUAAAAACUGGACCCUAAUGUGUUGCAGAACAACUUGGGCAUUUUGGAAGCACCGUGUAAAAGUAUUAUUAGAAAAGCUUCUCUCAGCCUCCUGAAGUAACCUGCCUCCCAAGCUGCCUUAUUCCUAGGAGAAUCUUCAUCUUCACUUUAUCAUAGCCCAGGGAUCCUGAAGUGGGAUGGAAGAAGGGUAUCUGACCUGGACUGGUGGUCUUGAGACCUUCUGGAAAACUGGAAAGAAGACUUUUUUUUUAACUCCAUGGAGACAAAUGGAUUAAUCAGUUCACAGAUUAUCAUUAUGUUUGGUUGAGAGAGGAAGUCUGGUGACAAAAUUGAACGAGACAAAGACAGUAAGUCAGGAGAGAUUCUGAGUGUCGGGGCCAAGUUCUUGCUUUAAAUGCAGAGCGCCUGAAGAAAGUCUGGAACCUCACAGGUGGCUGGUAAAAGAAGAGAGGCCAGGUCAUCUGGUAAACGUUGGCCUGUAACACAGUUCAUGGAAGGCUGCUUGGUGCCCAUUCAUCCCCAAGACAUCCACACGUGAGAAUUCACCAGUACAAAGAUGUUUAAGACUUAUCUGAGAAGGAAUCCAGAUGAUGAGUCCAUCUGCAGGUAAAA